CAAUCCCUGGGGUGUGCGUGACAGGCUGUUUGCGCCGGCCUCACCAGUGUUAGCAGGGAGCUGGCUACCGGGAUGGUGUGCAUACCCGCAACGCGGGGAGCCUGAAAUCCCGGUCAGGCGCCCACUUGGAGACCACCAGGUCUCGUGCCAGCAGCCCGUUGCGGCAUCCCGGGGUUUUC
rnacentral:other from 1 species